GACAGAGGAUGCAAGCGUUAUCCGGAAUGAUUGGGCGUAAAGCGUCUGUAGGUGGCUUUUUAAGUCCGCCGUCAAAUCCCAGGGCUCAACCCUGGACAGGCGGUGGAAACUACCGAGCUGGAGUACGGUAGGGGCAGAGGGAAUUUCCGGUGGAGCGGUGAAAUGCGUAGAUAUCGGAAGGAACACCUGUGGCGAAAGCGGCUCACUGGACCAUUACUGACGCUGAUGCACGAAAGCUAGGGGAGCAAACAGG
rnacentral:rRNA from 1 species